CAUCCAGCUGCAGCCCCGCAGACUCACUUCUUGCUAGACACCAGUGGCUGGACACCAGUGGAUGGACAGCAGACGUCAUUUCCGUAUCGUCAUUCACUUUUCAAAUUGACGUUAUUUCCGUAUCGUCUUUCACUUUCCAAUUUUAACGCGCCAUAAAGAUGUCAGUGGCAAAUCGCAUUAGUGUGGGUAAAGGGACGGAGCUACCACCAAUACAGAAAUGCACAGAGUGCUGCAGCCGGUAUCACUGCCCGCUGUGCAAUUCAAACACAGUGGGGUACUGUGGAAACGGAAGACGUGGAGACCUUUGAAGGUUUUAUACAGACCCUGAAUUUCCUGAGCAUUGCCCAGACUGCCAGUUUUAGGGGGCAGGAAUGAGGUGUGGUGUGCACAGUGUGCAAUAGUUUAUUUGGAACUGUUCAUGUUUUAUUUUCUCUUGAAAUAGGGACUUCCCCCACAACCUUAAGGAGCCUGACUGUGGCAUCUUCAUUCUGAUGGUCAGAUUUGACAAAUUUUACUAAUUAGAUUGUGUAAUUUCCAAUAAAUAUUGCAAAACCA